GUGCUCACUUCGGCAGCACAUACACUAAAACUGGAAUGAUAGAAGAUAAGCAUGGCACCUGUGCAAGGAUAACAUUCAUAUUUAAAAAAAAAAGAAACAAAGAAUAU
ensembl:snRNA U6 U6 spliceosomal RNA